ensembl:lncRNA
AGAAAACUUACCUACAUGUUUUCAUGUCGAUCUGUAUUUUUGGUUCCUUUUCCACAUUCUUGCUUCAUUUCUUUUGCUCUGUUGUUCCCUAGGGUUAGGGUUAUGAUAGGUAUUGGUUGGGUUAGAGUUAGGGAAGGUUAGGGUUGGGUUAGAGUUAGGGAAGGUAUUGGUUGGGUUAGAGUUAGGGAAGGUAUUGGUAGGGUUAGGGAAGGUAUUGGUUGGGUUAGAGUUAGGGAAGGUAUUGGUAGGGUUAGGGAAGGUAUUGGUUGGGUUAGGGUUAGGGAAGGUAUUGAUUGGGUUAGGGUUAGGGAAGGUAUUGGUUGGCAUUGCAGAGUGAAGAACUCACCACUGUAGGUCUCUAGAUCGCUUUGGACGAGGACUUUUGUACAGCACCCUCUAUGUAGGGGAC